rnacentral:rRNA from 1 species
CAGUCGCCGCGGUAAUACGGAGGGUGCAAGCGUUAAUCGGAAUUACUGGGCGUAAAGCGCACGCAGGCGGUCUGUCAAGUCGGAUGUGAAAUCCCCGGGCUCAACCUGGGAACUGCAUUCGAAACUGGCAGUCUAGAGUCUUGUAGAGGGGGGUAGAAUUCCAGGUGUAGCGGUGAAAUGCGUAGAGAUCUGGAGGAAUACCGGUGGCGAAGGCGGCCCCCUGGACAAAGACUGACGCUCAGGUGCGAAAGCGUGGGGAGCAAACAGGAUUAGAUACCCCUGUAGUCCCUGUCUCUUAUAC